rnacentral:rRNA from 1 species
GAAUACCUUGCUGUUUUGACGUUACCGACAGAAUAANCACCGGCUAACUCUGUGCCAGCAGCCGCGGUAAUACAGAGGGUGCAAGCGUUAAUCGGAAUUACUGGNCGUAAAGCGCGCGUANGUGGUUUGUUAAGUUGGAUGUGAAAGCCCCGGGCUCAACCUGGGAACUGCAUCCAAAACUGGCAAGCUAGAGUACAGUAGAGGGUGGUGGAAUUUCCUGUGUAGCGGUGAAAUGCGUANAUAUAGGAAGGAACACCAGUGGCGAAGGCGACCACCUGGACUGAUACUGACACUGAGGUGCGAAAGCGUGGGGAGCAAACAGGAUUAAAUACC